rnacentral:rRNA from 1 species
UACGUAGGAGGCGAGCGUUGUCCGGAAUUACUGGGCGUAAAGAGCGCGUAGGCGGCACGGUACGACCGGUGUGAAAGCCCCCGGCUCAACUGGGGGAGGGUCACCGGUAACGGCCGAGCUAUGAGUGCAGGAGAGGGAAGUGGAACUCCGGGAGUAGCGGUGAAAUGCGUAGAGACCCGGAGGAACACCAGUGGCGAAGGCGGCUUCCUGGUCUGCAACUGACGCUGUGGCGCGAAAAGCUAGGGGGAGCAAACGGG